AAAUAAGAAGUAAAAAAUUACACUUAGUUUCGACCUAAAAAUUGACAAAACUUGUCCUUAUUUA
rnacentral:tRNA from 1 species